rnacentral:rRNA from 1 species
AUUGAACGCUGGUGGCAUGCCUUACACAUGCAAGUCGAACGGUAACAGGUCUUCGGAUGCUGACGAGUGGCGAACGGGUGAGUAAUACAUCGGAACGUGCCUAGUAGUGGGGGAUAACUACUCGAAAGAGUGGCUAAUACCGCAUGAGAUCUACGGAUGAAAGCAGGGGAUCGCAAGACCUUGUGCUACUAGAGCGGCCGAUGGCAGAUUAGGUAGUUGGUGGGAUAAAAGCUUACCAAGCCGACGAUCUGUAGCUGGUCUGAGAGGACGAUCAGCCACAGUGGGACUGAGACACGGCCCAGACUCCUACGGGAGGCAGCAGUGGGGAAUUUUGGACAAUGGGCGAAAGCCUGAUCCAGCAAUGCCGCGUGCAGGAUGAAGGCCUUCGGGUUGUAAACUGCUUUUGUACGGAACGAAAAGCCCCGGGUUAAUACCCUGGGGUCAUGACGGUACCGUAAGAAUAAGCACCGGCUAACUACGUGCCAGCAGCCGCCGUAA